GAUGGUAGUGUAUUGGACCACCAUGGCAGUCACGGGUAACGGAGAAUUAGGGUUCGGUUCCGGAGAGGGAGCCUGAGAAACGGCUACCACAUCUACGGAAGGCAGCAGGCGCGUAAAUUACCCAAUCCUGACUCAGGGAGGUAGUGACAAGAAAUAACGGACCGAAGCCUAUGUUUCGGGAUUGCAAUGAGUAGAAUUUAAACCCCUUUACGAGGAUCAAUUGGAGGGCAAGUCUGGUGCCAGCAGCCGCGGUAAUA
rnacentral:rRNA from 1 species